AAACCAACAGGGAUUGCCUCAGUAGCGGCGAGUGAAGCGGCAAGAGCUCAGAUUUGAAAUCGUGCUUUGCGGCACGAGUUGUAGAUUGCAGGUUGGAGUCUGUGUGGAAGGCGGUGUCCAAGUCCCUUGGAACAGGGCGCCCAGGAGGGUGAGAGCCCCGUGGGAUG
rnacentral:rRNA from 1 species